rnacentral:rRNA from 1 species
AACGAACGCUGGCGGCGGGCUUAACACAUGCAAGUCGAGCGCCUCGCAAGGGGAGCGGCAGACGGGUGAGUAACGCGUGGGAAUCUACCCAUCUCUACGGAAUAACGCAUGGUAACGAGUGCUAAUACCGUAUACGUCCUUCGGGAGAAAGAUUUAUUGGAGAUGGAUGAGCCCGCGUUGGAUUAGCUAGUUGGUGGGGUAAAGGCCUACCAAGGCGACGCUCCAUAGCUGGUCUGAGAGGAUGAUCGGCCACACUGGGACUGAGACACGGCCCAGACUCCUGCGGGAGGCAGCAGUGGGGAAUAUUGGACAAUGGGCGCAAGGCUGAUCCAGCCAUGCCGCGUGAGUGAUGAAGGCCCUAGGGUUGUAAAGCUCUUGCACCGGUGAAGAUAAUGACGGUAACCGGAGAAUAAGCCCUUACUAACUACGUGCCAGCAGCCGCAGUAACAC